AGGGCCGCGGUAAUUUGACCGUGCGAAGGUAGCAUAAUCAUUAGUCUUUUAAUUGGAGGCUYGUAUGAAUGGUUGGAUGAGAAAUAACCUGUCUUUUUUCAUUUAUUGAAUUUAACUUUUAAGUGAAAAGGCUUAAAUUUACUAGUGGGACGAUAAGACCCUAUAAAAUUUUAUAUUAUUUUAGCAUAAUUUAAUAAUUUAUUCUAAAUUUGUUUGUUAUUUGUAUUUUGUUGGGGAGAUAGUGAUAUAAAUUUAACUGUUAUUAAUAACAUAAUAAUUAUAAUUAGUUUCUGAUCCUUUAUUAUGGAUUUUAAGAUUAAAUUACUUUAGGGAUAACAGCGUGAUUUUCUUUGAGAGUUCUUAUCGACAAGAUUAGUUGCGACCUCGAUGUUGAAUUAAAAUGUUAGACUGGUGUAGCAGCUUGUCUAGUGGGUCUGUUCGACCUUUAAAAUUUU
rnacentral:rRNA from 1 species